GUCUCCAUUCACAUAGAUGGAUCGUGGUAGGCCUUGCUGAAGUGGCCUCUGCCGUCCGGGUCGUCCUUCUAGAAUUCGCGGUGCAGUUAUUAGCUGUAUCGAUCUGCAUCAUCUCCAUCAUCCGGGUCGUCCUCAUGGGAUCCGUGGGAUAGUUAUUGGGCGUAAUGAUCGGUGAUGCGAUGGUGCGUCCAUGUCGGGACCUCGUGUGGGUGAUCGUCUGUCCGAUGAUGAUUUACUAUGUGAGGGCCGUCCUGCUGUUCAUCGUGUCGUUGGCUCUGCAUCUACUGGGGUUCGAGGUCAGACUUCAUCUGCUGCUGAUUUGCGUCGACGGCACAAAGAGAUCCGACUGGGAAACGUCCUGUUAAUUGCGAUGUUGUUGCAGAUCACGCGGAGCCGUUGUGUGCACUCAACCUUCUACUACUUUGUGUGUGCUAUUUUGUAUUGCAGGUUAUCAGGCUUAGAUCUGCUUGCAUAUUCCUUCAUUGUUUUGUGUCAGUUUGAUAUGAAUACGUAGCCUACCUUAUGUAUUGGAAACUGUUGUUGAAACCGUUGCUGGGUGAUGUCCAGUUCGAGGAAUGGCUGCAUUUGUGUUUGCAUUCAUGUGUUUAUAGAUCAAUGUUAGUACUAACAUAUUGAGUGA